AACGAACGCUGGCGGCAUGCCUAACACAUGCAAGUCGAACGGAAACGUCGGGUCUAGUGGCGCACGGGGGCGUAACGCGGGGGAAGCAGCCCUUAGGUUCGGAAUAACUCACCGAGAGGGGUGCUAAUACCGGAUAGUGUCAUAGGACAAAAGAUCUAUCGCCUUUGGGUGGGCCCUGGUUGGAUUCGGGGGUUGGGAGGGUAAAAGCCUACCAACGCGACGUUCCUUGGCUGGUCUGAUAGGAGGAUCCGCCACACUUGGGCUGCGACACGGCCCCGUCUCCUACGCGGGGGAGGAGUGGGUAAUAUUGGGCGCGGGGGCAAGGCCUGAUCCAGCCAUGCCGCGUAUGUGAUGCAGGGGUUAGGGUUGUAAAUCUGUUUGUCACGGGAUGAUAAUGACGGUACCGGGUGAAUAAGCACCGGCUAACUACGUG
rnacentral:rRNA from 1 species